GCCCCCGACCGACUGCCGACUGGCCGGGCCCUGCUGCAGGCUGCGGGCAUCGCCUCCCCUCCCUCCGCGGUCAGUGCUGCCCAGGCGGGAAGCCCAGGCUUCCUUGGCUGUCCUUAGCACUUCAGAGGCUUUCCUACCAGGUGUCGCGAGGCGGUGAGGACACACAGAGACGUGGCACGGGGCCCUCCCGCCAGUGCUUCCCAGCCUAGUGGGGAGAGCGACUGCGGUAUUCUAAGAAGCCCUGCGACACUGGCUGUGACGCGAGCACUGAUACUAGAAUCAGGGCCACAGCGAAAGGGUAUUUUAUGCACAUUACGGGCAGGCAGGGGCCCUCCUGGAAAAAGCGGUGCCUGAGAGACUCCCUAAGGAAGGGGAAGGAAAUUGCGGGAGAGACAGAGACAGGGACAGAGACAGAGACAAAGAGACAGAGAUACACAGAAACAGACAGAGACAGAGAGACAGAGACAGAGAGCAGAUAGGAAGACGGAGGAAGAAGAAGAGAAAGAAAAAGGGGAGGGGAGGAGAGGAAGAAGAGGAGGAGGAAAAGGAAAAAGCCAGUCAGUGGCGGAGUGGACAGAUGUCUGCAGCUGAUGCGCGUGGGGCCCACUGGUGGAGCGAGAGACGCUGGAUGGGAGAUUCUUCCCGUAAUGGAGGUGAUGUCUAGUAGGAUGAGCAAAACAUUUGAAAAGAGCCUGGGAAUGGGCCGGGGAUGUAGUCCAGCAGCACAAGGCCUGCCUGGCAAGCCCAAGGUCCUGAGUUCGAGUCCACGUGUAGACAGUCUGAUGAGCACCUGCUUUGGGAGUCAGCGGAGAGCAAAGGCCAGGGAUUUACAGGGUCUUAACCCAGACAAGAGGAGGAAUGGGAGGCUGGGGAGGGAGAGCCGGUAAAGGGACGGGAAGACUGAUGCAUGCUGUGUCUGUAUCCCUGAGCUGGCGCUGAUUCCGGAGGUGCCUGGGAGACAGGAGCUGUGCGGGGAGAAGCCGGCAGGGUUUAACAGGAACCGGGACCCUGCACCACUGCACGGGAGGUCAGAAAGGGUGGGGAGAAGCCGGCAGGACUGCGCCCACCACAGCCCAGGCUCUCAGGGCAGGGCAACUGCAGCCAGGGCUCUGGGGCACCAAGGCAAGAGCCUGGCAGGAUGCAGGGCGGUGUGGCCAGCAUCGGGACAGAGGGGUGAGGAGGCCAGCUCUUCUCCUGCACAGUCAUGAGGUGUCUGUCCACUCCUCCUGGGGACUUCGGCCUGAAGUACCGGCUGACCCAGCCUGCUUACCCAGGAACCACUGUGGGAGUAGCCGUAUUAUUACAUAAUAAUAAUAAUAAUAGUGAUAUUACAUAAUAAUAAUAAUAAUUUUGAGUCAAGGUCUUGCUAAGUUGCCCUGGUUGGGCAAUCUUCCCGACAGCCUCCUAGAGUGCUGAGCUAUCCCUGGCUAACUUAAUUGUUUUUAAGAUGGGGUUACGUGGACAUACUUAAACACCGAGAGGAAAAGCCCACCACAAGGAAGGUGCAGAAGAGGAGCCGAGUGGAGGAGCAGGUUCCCUAACGGAGGGGAGCCAGCUUCCUUGUUCGCCUGACGAUGAGUACAGGGGCUGAAGGGCGCCGAUGGCCAGGUCGCCUCUCGGGUGUCACCCCUCGUCGGCUUGGUCUGCUUGAGGCUGAAUGUACCCACCUCAGAGUGAGGGCUUUGGGCUGUGUUACCCGUGAGGACCACGGUUCUGUGGGAUGAAGGCGUCCCCUCACCAGUGUCGCCCUGAGCACUCAGGGGAAGCCUCAGGGGGCAGAGCUCAGCUCAGCGCCCUGGUCCUCGCUUUCUCUGGUCACUGGCCUCCUUCCUCUCAGAGGACCCUCCUGUCCCAGCUUCCGGGCGGUGGCUCUGCUUGUGUCUCCGGCCUGACACUGGGUGGACAGCUCCACACGGUCACCGCUCCAGCAUUCUCGGCUGCCAGCUUGGUCCAGGCACCUGCCCCGUCCGUCUAGACAUUGUCCACAGGAAAUCGGGAGCCUUUGGAAGGAGAACGGCUGGAUCCUGGGCACGGGCCAGGGUGCCCAGAGGAACAAUCAGACAAGGCUGGUUUAACAAAUGGGAGUAACAUAAAGACCCUGUGGUCAAGGGGAAAGCGCACACUCACUGGAGGUCCACAGGGCGGCGUGGCUCCGGAGCCAGGUGCUGGGGCUGGCUUCCAGCGCGUGCAUCACCGUCUCCCCGUAGUCCAUGAAGGGCUUGUUAAGCCUGCAGGAGACAGCACACACUGAGGCGUCCGGGACCAGAGGAAGGCAGGAUGCAGCGGAGCGUGCGGGGCAGCUGGGUGCAGCUGAGUGCUGACCCCGGCAGCUGUUACAGGUGCCUGUUUUCCUUACCUGCAAACCAGGCUGUUACUACACAGCAAGAGAAGCAGUCAAACCCCUGCAAGGUCCUCUCCAGAGCUACAGGAACCCUGGACCCUCGGGGCAUUUCUCAGAGGCAGGUUAUGCAGGGGGUUAUAGGUGAGCCCACCAGUAACAGAGACCUGCCUGAGACCAGUGUUCGCCCUAGAAUGUUCUUCUC